rnacentral:rRNA from 1 species
GAUUAACGCUAGCGGCAGGCCUAAUACAUGCAAGUUGAACGGCAGCACAGGUAGCAAUACUGGGUGGCGAGUGGCGCACGGGUGCGUAACACGUAUGCAACCUACCCUAUACAGGCGAAUAACCUUUAGAAAUGAGGGCUAAUACGCCGUAGUAUUACAGAUGGGCAUCUAUUUGUACUUAAAGAUUUAUCGGUAUAGGAUGGGCAUGCGUCCCAUUAGUUAGUUGGUAAGGUAACGGCUUACCAAGACGAGGAUGGGUAGGGGAUCUGAGAGGACUUACCCCCACACUGAGACUGGGACACGGACCAGACUCCUACGGGAGGCAGCAGUAAGGAAUAUUGGGCAAUGGCCGCGAGGCUGACCCAGCCAUGCCGCGUGCAGGAAGACGGCCUUAUGGGUUGUAAACUGCUUUUAUACGGGAAUAAUAGAGUGUACGCGUACAUUUAUGCAAGUAUCGUAUGAAUAAGCAUCGGCUAACUCCGUG